rnacentral:rRNA from 1 species
AUAGCGUAUAUUAAAGUUGUUGCAGUUAAAAAGCUCGUAGUUGAACCUUGGGUCUGGCUGGCCGGUCCGCCUCACCGCGUGUACUGGUCCGGCCGGACCUUUCCUUCUGGGGAAUCGCAUGCCCUUCACUGGGUGUGUCGAGGAUCCAGGACUUUUACUUUGAAAAAAUUAGAGUGUUCAAAGCAGGCCUAUGCUCGAAUACAUUAGCAUGGAAUAAUAGAAUAGGACGUGUGGUUCUAUUUUGUUGGUUUCUAGGACCACCGUAAUGAUUAAUAGGGAUAGUCGGGGGCAUCAGUAUUCAAUUGUCAGAGGUGAAAUUCUUGGAUUAAUUGAAGACUAACUACUG